rnacentral:rRNA from 1 species
UACGUAGGGGGCAAGCGUUGUCCGGAAUCAUUGGGCGUAAAGAGCGUGUAGGCGGCCCGAUAAGUCCGCCGUGAAAGUCCAGGGCUCAACCCUGGAAUGCCGGUGGAAACUGUCGGGCUCGAGUCCGGAAGAGGCGAGUGGAAUUCCUGGUGUAGCGGUGAAAUGCGCAGAUAUCAGGAGGAACACCAAUGGCGAAGGCAGCUCGCUGGGACGGUACUGACGCUGAUCCGCGAAAGCUAGGGGAGCAAACGGG